rnacentral:lncRNA from 1 species
ACUCAUGCCAUGUUUGGUUUCAUUCCAUUUAACGGUUCUCUAAAAGAAGUCAUUUGUAUGCAUUUCCCAUAGGGUCCUAUGUUAAACUAAGUCCCCUGCUGGCGGCCAUCUUGGAUGAUGGAUCGGCUACAAAGUAACAACACUUGGUCAGCACCUCAUAAGGAACAUUCAUGCUAUGUUUGGUUUCAUUCCAUUUAGUGGUUCUCUAAAAG